UACAGAGGGGGCAAGCGUUGUUCGGAAUUACUGGGCGUAAAGGGCGCGUAGGCGGCCUGCUAAGUCGAACGUGAAAUCCCUCGGCUUAACCGAGGAACUGCCUCCCAAACUGCUUGGCUUGAGACCGGGAGAGGUGAGUGGAAUUCCCAGUGUAGCGGUGAAAUGCGUAGAUAUUGGGAGGAACACCAGUGGCGAAGGCGGCUCACUGGACCGGUACUGACGCUGAUGCGCGAAAGCGUGGGGAGCAAACAGG
rnacentral:rRNA from 1 species